AAUGAACGCUGGCGGCAGGCCUAACACAUGCAAGUCGAGCGAGCAUUUCGGUGCUAGCGGCGGACGGGUGAGUAACGCGUGGGAACGUGCCCUUUUCUGCGGAAUAGUCCUGGGAAACUGGGGGUAAUACCGCAUACGCCCUUUUGGGGAAAGAUUUAUCGGAGAAGGAUCGGCCCGCGUUGGAUUAGGUAGUUGGUGGGGUAAUGGCCCACCAAGCCGACGAUCCAUAGCUGGUUUGAGAGGAUGAUCAGCCACACUGGGACUGAGACACGGCCCAGACUCGGAGGGGAGGCAGCGAGGGGGAAUGUCAGAGAAUGGGGGAGCACGUGACAGGGCGAGGGGGUGUGAGUGAAGAAGGACGUGGGGUUGAAAAGCGCUGUGGGCGGGGAAGAGAGCGGCGGCACGAGCAGAAGAGCCCCCGGCCAACGCGGGGACAGCAGCCGCGGUAAUAAGGGGACGAGCACACGUCUGAGC
rnacentral:rRNA from 1 species